GACGAACGCUGGCGGCGUGCUUAACACAUGCAAGUCGAACGAAGUGGCGAACGGGUGAGUAACGCGUAAUCAACCUGCCCUUCAGAGGGGGACCACAGUUGGAAACGACUGCUAAUACCGCAUACUUAAGGAGGGGAUUGCGUCUGAUUAGCUAGUUGGGAGGGUAACGGCCCACCAAGGAGAUGAUCAGUAGCCGGUCUGAGAGGAUGAACGGCCACAUUGGGACUGAGACACGGCCCAGACUCCUACGGGAGGCAGCAGUGGGGAAUCUGCCGCAAUGGACGAAAGUCUGACGGAGCAACGCCGCGUGAGUGAUGACGGCCUGCGGGUUGUAAAGCGCUGUUAAUCGGGACGCGGUACCGGAAUAGAAAGCCACGGCUAACUACGUGCCAGCAGCCGCGUAAUAC
rnacentral:rRNA from 1 species